rnacentral:rRNA from 1 species
UACGUAGGGUGCGAGCGUUGUCCGGAAUUAUUGGGCGUAAAGCGCUUGUAGGCGGCCUGUUAAGUUCCGUGUGAAAUCCCCUGGCUUAACCAGGGAAGUGCGCGGAAAACUGGCGGGCUUGAGUGCCGGAGAGGGUCGCGGAAUUCCCGGUGUAGAGGUGAAAUUCGUAGAUAUCGGGAGGAACACCAGUGGCGAAGGCGGCGACCUGGACGGACACUGACGCUGAGACGCGAAAGCGUGGGGAGCAAACAGG